GGAAGCUGGUGCCGCUGCAAGAAGUUCAAAUGUCACUGUAGCGGCCGGACGGAUUUGACACACUGUGCCUCCACGGUGCUCCCUCCCACAAAGAGUGUGCCAGAGCAAAAAAUGGGAAGGCAUUAAUCUGAAGUUCAGAUAUGAUAAAGAAAGAAGUCGUGCGAUCUCGGAUCUAGUGAUUUUCCAUGAGCUAUGGCCCCUUUCCCUGAUGCAUAAACAUGGACGGCCGCCCUCCAACAUAUCUCUUUCUCCCGCUGCUCCAGCAAGCAAGCUCCCAGCGUCGCACCUCCAGC